rnacentral:lncRNA from 1 species
GGCCGAAAGUACAGCUGGUGCCGGUAGUGGAGCGGGUGCUGGUGAAACUCCUGGUGCUGCUGGACCGAGUGGAAGCCCAACUGAUAGCCCGAGUGAAUCAGAAGAAAGUUCCAAGGAUGAAAGCUCAAAAGAUGAAAGCUCCAAGGAUGAAAGCUCCAAAGAUGAAAGCUCUAAAGAUGAAAGCUCCAAGGAUGAAAGCUCUAAGGAUGACAGCUCCAAGGAUGAAAGCUCCAAAGAUGAAAGCUCUAAAGAUGAAAGCUCCAAGGAUGAAAGCUCUAAGGAUGACAGCUCCAAGGAUGAAAGCUCCAAAGAUGAAAACUCCAAAGAUGAAAGCUCUAAGGAUGAAAGCUCCAAGGAUGAAAGCUCUAAGGAUGACAGCUCCAAGGAUGAAAGCUCCAAAGAUGAAAACUCCAAAGAUGAAAGCUCUAAGGAUGAAAGCUCCAAGGAUGAAAGCUCUAAGGAUGACAGCUCCAAGGAUGAAAGCUCCAAAGAUGAAAGCUCCAAGGAUGAAAGCUCAAAAGAUGAAAGCUCCAAAGAUGAAAGCUCAAAAGAUGAAAGCUCUAAGGAUGAAAGCUCCAAGGAUGAGAGCUCCAAAGAUGAAAGCUCUAAGGAUGAAAGCUCCAAAGGUGAAAGCUCAGCUGAAUCAGGAGAAAGUUCCAAGGAAGCUAGUGGUGGAAGCUCUACUGAGACCCAAAGUGAAACUGGUGCCGAAAGUGGAAGCACUGCCGGUGGUCCUAGUGGUGAACCCUCUGGCGAUGCUGGUGCCGGUGCUCCAAGCGGAAGUACAUCUGAUAUGUCGGCAGGAGGAGCAAGUGCUUCAGGCGGUGCGAGUGAAACUUCAACUCAAACCUCUGCCGAAGGAGAAAGCUCAAUGAAUAGUGGAGGUUCCUACGCGGACACUACAGGUGGUAGCGCGGAAGGUUCCGCCAGUAGCCCCUCUGGCUCAGCGUCGGGUAGUAGUGAGACCUCCUCCAUCACCGGAAGUGAAAAUUCAUCUUACCAAGCUGGAGGAUCAUCUGCCGGUGGCCCCAGUGGAAGUACAACGGAAGCUGCGGGUUCAACCGAAGGUGGUAGUGGAGCCUCAGUAAAUCAAUCUGUCAAAGGAAAAGUGGGGGCAACGAGCUAUGAAGGUUCUUCUAGCUACAAAAAGUCACACUCACAAACCUCAGAGUCAGGCCAGAGCAGCUUCAAAACAGAGAAAAAAGCCGGCUCGUCUUAAAUUAAACUCGUCGGUUCUCGGACCAUAUAGGUCGGAAACACAUAUUAAUACUAUAAUUACAAUAAAGCAAUGGCCCUGCUAACAAUUACAGCAGCGAGCUGUAGAAUGUUUUUUGCUAAAUACUAGAGAAUUACUGACAUGCGUUAGCCUUACUGCAUGCAUAAUUUUGGUUUUUUUUUUCUCUCUUUAAUUUCCGUUGUAAAAUAUGAAUAUAAAAGAAUUGUGAGUAUGUAUACAUGACACAUUAAAUAGUGAGAAAGUAAUAAUAAUAAUAAUAAUUUAUAUGCAUAUCCUAUCAAAUUUUUUGUUCAGUCUCCUCUUUUUAUUUUUUUCUUUUAAGUUUAACAUUUCCCAAAUUAAAAUAUUCUUCAUGUGAACUUCUCUUUAUAUGCAUAUAUCAUAAGAAAUCGUUCUCCAGCUUUAACAAGAACCCAAUGGCUCUAUUAGAGAUGUACCGCCCUAUAUCUUUAAUGCAUGUUGAGAUGCGAGUUCGCGGCCAUAAUGUGUGCUGAAACUACAUUGAGACCAAACCGUGUUGUCAAUAUGGUGUAAUGCAACAUAAGAACAGCAAAUAAACUGUUUUUACUUAUGAUGAUUAUCUAACAAUCAGAAGUAUACAUUCUUGAACCGUUAUAUAUAAUACAAUGGAUAUGUGACAAUGAUAAGUUUAAAUUUAUGGAUUCAGUGACCUAGAGAACUUGAUGGACUCAUCUUUGAUCAUGUCAGAAUAACAUAAUUUAGAGUAGCUCCAUCCUUUAGUAUUUUAAAUGAAAUUUUAUAAUCGCUAAAAUAAUAAUAUUGUAACAUUGUGUAAUUACAUACUUAAAUUUAUUUUAGGAAAAUUGAGUUGUUGACACAUGGCAUUAUAGGUUCUUAGGAGUUUUUCAUAGUUGCUAAAUUAGAUACUUUGUAACUCUUUUUCUUAUUUUUUUGUGAGAUAUCAUCUUAAAAGAAUUUCAUUGGAGCUGCUUUUAUCUAUUAAACCGAACCGGAUUUGGUUUCGGUUGAAACAAGACAAAAUUUUUGAGAAAGCCGGUUGGAUCAGGGACAAACCGGAAUGAUCCAACGCAAACCCCUCACAAGAGAAAGUGAAGUAAAAGAUCGGAACAGACAAGAAGAGGUUAUGGCUUUGCCUUUGGUCUCCUCUGUUUCUUACAUCCAAUCUUCUUCAACCCAACUCCAUUGUUUCCCACUACGAAAAGGUUAGUCUUUUUCUCUUUAAUCGUUCUCAGGAUCGAAAAAAAAAAGGUGUAUGGAUUGGGUUUAUUGCAGAACAGCUUCAGAUGCUAAGUCCUUGCCUUGAAUUUAUGUUGAUAAUGCAGAAAGAUUUGGACUUUAUAGAUUACAAACGUGGAGCUCUCAUCAUCAUAGUUCAAUUAGACUUAUUAGCAAAAGAACGUUUCCUCAGAGACUUGCUGUGAGAAUGUCUGCAUCAUCAACUUUGCCUAUGAAUCUUCACCGAACAAAGAAGGUUUGGAUAUGGACUGAGUGCAAAGAAGUGAUGACGACUGCAGUGGAACGAGGGUGGAACACUUUUGUCUUCCCAUCAGAUAGUCUACAACUUUCUAAGGACUGGUCAUGUACAUUGCAGAAUCACAAACAAACUUAAAAAAAAAAGCUUCCUAUUUGAGUCGGUUUUGAUUCGAUGUAUUGAGUUUUCAUGCAGCGGUUGCUUUGGUGGAUACAUUGUUUAUUGAUGAGAGGCAAGUUACUGAUGGAACGGGUAAAGUUGUGGCUGCUGUCUUUGAGGUUUCAACACCUGAGGAGCUACAGAAGCUUAAGAUUGAGGAUGAGCAGACUGAGAAUAUUGUUCUUGGUUUUUUAGACUGGAAGGUAAGGUAGUAACACACACACACACACACACACACAAUGUUAUACCUUUUGGAUAACAGAUAGUGUUUUGUUUUGUAGUCAAUCCCAGCAGAGAAUCUAGUGGCGGCUCUCCAAGGAAGUGAGAAGACGGUGUUUGCCAUUUCAAGUACUCCCUCUGAAGCAAAACUAUACCUUGAGGUAGCUUCUAGUUUCUGUUGUUUGACAUUACGUUUGAGUUUAUAAAAGGGUUGUAUGCUUGGCUUUAAGGCUUUAGAGCAUGGUCUUGGCGGAAUCAUACUUAAAACAGAAGAUGUGAAAGCUGUUCUUGACCUAAAGGUUAUCAAUCAUCAUCUCAUUAAAGCAUAGCCACCACCUUCUUCAUUUUGGUAAAUAGUUUCUGCUUCUAUUUAGGAAUACUUUGACAAAAGGGGAGAAGAAAGUGAUACGUUAAGCUUGACUGAAGCAACUAUAACUCGGAUUGAAAUGGUCGGUAUGGGAGACAGAGUCUGUGUUGAUCUUUGCAGCCUCAUGAGACCCGGUGAAGGUCUUCUUGUAUGUUUGCCUGUAUAUAUACUCUUUCUCCAUCAUGAACGUUUACUAACCUUAAAACCAUUUAACUUAUGAAUCUGUCUUCUUAAGGUUGGAUCCUUUGCGAGAGGACUGUUCUUGGUUCACUCAGAGUGCUUGGAGUCUAAUUACAUUGCAAGCAGACCAUUUAGAGUCAACGCUGUGAGUUUUUGUCUCCUUCAUCUUAUAAGUUGAAAAUACUAUUCACUCAAAAACUUGAAUUGCAGGGACCAGUUCAUGCUUAUGUCGCUGUUCCGGGAGGGAAGACUUGUUAUCUAUCCGAGUUAAGAACAGGAAGAGAAGUAAUAGUUGUUGAUCAGAAAGGAAAACAGCGGACAGCAGUUGUCGGGAGAGUUAAAAUAGAGAAGCGCCCUCUUAUCCUCGUGGAGGCUAAGGUUCAUAUGUUACAUUCGUAGUACAUUAGUUCUCUGUGCUUUAGACUUUAAGCUGUUUCAUCUCUUGCAGCUUAGUGGAGAGGAGGAUGAAACGAGUUUUAGCACCAUCCUACAGAACGCGGAAACAGUUGCGUUAGUCACUCCUCAUCAAGGUUCUUGUCUUUGAGAUCUUUAUUGCAGUUUACAUCAAAUGGUUUUCUGAUGAAUGUCUUUUACUUUCUUGCAGUAAACUCAUCUAGUAAAACUGCUGUCCCUGUGACCUCGCUGAAACUUGGGGAUCAAGUUUUGAUUAGGUUACAGGGCGGCGCACGUCAUACUGGCAUAGAGAUUCAAGAGUUCAUUGUCGAGAACUGAUUCAAAAACCAAGAGAGAAAUUUGAUUGAGACAAAACACAUGUUUUAUAGUUUUAUUAAUGAUGUCAAUAAUUAAUUUACAAUUCUAUAUGCGCAUUAGUAAAUUAUUAAUCCUCAAUAUAAAAAAUAAUCUUUUUCCAUAAAAAGUAUGUCUAAAUCAUAAAAAGUAUUCUAGAAUACUAGUUUCUUACAUUCUUGAACCGUUAUAUAUAAUACAAUGGAUAUGUGACAAUGAUAAGUUUAAAUUUAUGGAUUCAGUGACCUAGAGAACUUGAUGGACUCAUCUUUGAUCAUGUCAGAAUAACAUAAUUUAGAGUAGCUCCAUCCUUUAGUAUUUUAAAUGAAAUUUUAUAAUCGCUAAAAUAAUAAUAUUGUAACAUUGUGUAAUUACAUACUUAAAUUUAUUUUAGGAAAAUUGAGUUGUUGACACAUGGCAUUAUAGGUUCUUAGGAGUUUUUCAUAGUUGCUAAAUUAGAUACUUUGUAACUCUUUUUCUUAUUUUUUUGUGAGAUAUCAUCUUAAAAGAAUUUCAUUGGAGCUGCUUUUAUCUAUUAAACCGAACCGGAUUUGGUUUCGGUUGAAACAAGACAAAAUUUUUGAGAAAGCCGGUUGGAUCAGGGACAAACCGGAAUGAUCCAACGCAAACCCCUCACAAGAGAAAGUGAAGUAAAAGAUCGGAACAGACAAGAAGAGGUUAUGGCUUUGCCUUUGGUCUCCUCUGUUUCUUACAUCCAAUCUUCUUCAACCCAACUCCAUUGUUUCCCACUACGAAAAGGUUAGUCUUUUUCUCUUUAAUCGUUCUCAGGAUCGAAAAAAAAAAGGUGUAUGGAUUGGGUUUAUUGCAGAACAGCUUCAGAUGCUAAGUCCUUGCCUUGAAUUUAUGUUGAUAAUGCAGAAAGAUUUGGACUUUAUAGAUUACAAACGUGGAGCUCUCAUCAUCAUAGUUCAAUUAGACUUAUUAGCAAAAGAACGUUUCCUCAGAGACUUGCUGUGAGAAUGUCUGCAUCAUCAACUUUGCCUAUGAAUCUUCACCGAACAAAGAAGGUUUGGAUAUGGACUGAGUGCAAAGAAGUGAUGACGACUGCAGUGGAACGAGGGUGGAACACUUUUGUCUUCCCAUCAGAUAGUCUACAACUUUCUAAGGACUGGUCAUGUACAUUGCAGAAUCACAAACAAACUUAAAAAAAAAAGCUUCCUAUUUGAGUCGGUUUUGAUUCGAUGUAUUGAGUUUUCAUGCAGCGGUUGCUUUGGUGGAUACAUUGUUUAUUGAUGAGAGGCAAGUUACUGAUGGAACGGGUAAAGUUGUGGCUGCUGUCUUUGAGGUUUCAACACCUGAGGAGCUACAGAAGCUUAAGAUUGAGGAUGAGCAGACUGAGAAUAUUGUUCUUGGUUUUUUAGACUGGAAGGUAAGGUAGUAACACACACACACACACACACACACAAUGUUAUACCUUUUGGAUAACAGAUAGUGUUUUGUUUUGUAGUCAAUCCCAGCAGAGAAUCUAGUGGCGGCUCUCCAAGGAAGUGAGAAGACGGUGUUUGCCAUUUCAAGUACUCCCUCUGAAGCAAAACUAUACCUUGAGGUAGCUUCUAGUUUCUGUUGUUUGACAUUACGUUUGAGUUUAUAAAAGGGUUGUAUGCUUGGCUUUAAGGCUUUAGAGCAUGGUCUUGGCGGAAUCAUACUUAAAACAGAAGAUGUGAAAGCUGUUCUUGACCUAAAGGUUAUCAAUCAUCAUCUCAUUAAAGCAUAGCCACCACCUUCUUCAUUUUGGUAAAUAGUUUCUGCUUCUAUUUAGGAAUACUUUGACAAAAGGGGAGAAGAAAGUGAUACGUUAAGCUUGACUGAAGCAACUAUAACUCGGAUUGAAAUGGUCGGUAUGGGAGACAGAGUCUGUGUUGAUCUUUGCAGCCUCAUGAGACCCGGUGAAGGUCUUCUUGUAUGUUUGCCUGUAUAUAUACUCUUUCUCCAUCAUGAACGUUUACUAACCUUAAAACCAUUUAACUUAUGAAUCUGUCUUCUUAAGGUUGGAUCCUUUGCGAGAGGACUGUUCUUGGUUCACUCAGAGUGCUUGGAGUCUAAUUACAUUGCAAGCAGACCAUUUAGAGUCAACGCUGUGAGUUUUUGUCUCCUUCAUCUUAUAAGUUGAAAAUACUAUUCACUCAAAAACUUGAAUUGCAGGGACCAGUUCAUGCUUAUGUCGCUGUUCCGGGAGGGAAGACUUGUUAUCUAUCCGAGUUAAGAACAGGAAGAGAAGUAAUAGUUGUUGAUCAGAAAGGAAAACAGCGGACAGCAGUUGUCGGGAGAGUUAAAAUAGAGAAGCGCCCUCUUAUCCUCGUGGAGGCUAAGGUUCAUAUGUUACAUUCGUAGUACAUUAGUUCUCUGUGCUUUAGACUUUAAGCUGUUUCAUCUCUUGCAGCUUAGUGGAGAGGAGGAUGAAACGAGUUUUAGCACCAUCCUACAGAACGCGGAAACAGUUGCGUUAGUCACUCCUCAUCAAGGUUCUUGUCUUUGAGAUCUUUAUUGCAGUUUACAUCAAAUGGUUUUCUGAUGAAUGUCUUUUACUUUCUUGCAGUAAACUCAUCUAGUAAAACUGCUGUCCCUGUGACCUCGCUGAAACUUGGGGAUCAAGUUUUGAUUAGGUUACAGGGCGGCGCACGUCAUACUGGCAUAGAGAUUCAAGAGUUCAUUGUCGAGAACUGAUUCAAAAACCAAGAGAGAAAUUUGAUUGAGACAAAACACAUGUUUUAUAGUUUUAUUAAUGAUGUCAAUAAUUAAUUUACAAUUCUAUAUGCGCAUUAGUAAAUUAUUAAUCCUCAAUAUAAAAAAUAAUCUUUUUCCAUAAAAAGUAUGUCUAAAUCAUAAAAAGUAUUCUAGAAUACUAGUUUCUCAUUAUUGUUUUGUCAUAUUCUUCUAUGAUAUGUUCCAAAUUAGUUUCAAUAAAACAGUGUUAAAAAUAGGGCAAUUGUCAAUAAUAGCACCUUUUGAAGUUUAUGUCUCAAAAAUAACACUACAAGUAGAAAGUCACAAAAAUGACAUUCAUUAAAGGGUAAAAUAUUCCUAAUACCCUUGGUUUAAAAUUAAAUAAAUAAAUAAAAAUAAAUGAAAUAUAUUUUCCAUUGUCCGUCCUUAUGCAGAUUGUCUGUCUCCUACCGCCCUUGAAGACAAAACCAGUUGUAACCGAAGCUUAUGAUACAGGGGUUCCUGUCCUUUUUGCUGCUUGCGAUUUUAGUAUCAGUAGGUUGAGACAUUGUUUGAAGUUCACGGCUGGAUCUAAGAAGCAAUCACCCCGCCUAUUGAAAUCUUAACCAAUAAGUUAUUUCCGAACUCACCUGCUGAAGGUGGAAGCGGUAGCCCAAGUGGAAGCCCAAGUGACAGCUCUUCAGGAGCAGGCUCCACGGGUGGUAGUGAAAGCUCCGCUGAGGCCGAAAGUACAGCUGGUGCCGGUAGUGGAGCGGGUGCUGGUGAAACUCCUGGUGCUGCUGGACCGAGUGGAAGCCCAACUGAUAGCCCGAGUGAAUCAGAAGAAAGUUCCAAGGAUGAAAGCUCAAAAGAUGAAAGCUCCAAGGAUGAAAGCUCCAAAGAUGAAAGCUCUAAAGAUGAAAGCUCCAAGGAUGAAAGCUCUAAGGAUGACAGCUCCAAGGAUGAAAGCUCCAAAGAUGAAAACUCCAAAGAUGAAAGCUCUAAGGAUGAAAGCUCCAAGGAUGAAAGCUCUAAGGAUGACAGCUCCAAGGAUGAAAGCUCCAAAGAUGAAAGCUCCAAGGAUGAAAGCUCAAAAGAUGAAAGCUCCAAAGAUGAAAGCUCAAAAGAUGAAAGCUCUAAGGAUGAAAGCUCCAAGGAUGAGAGCUCCAAAGAUGAAAGCUCUAAGGAUGAAAGCUCCAAAGGUGAAAGCUCAGCUGAAUCAGGAGAAAGUUCCAAGGAAGCUAGUGGUGGAAGCUCUACUGAGACCCAAAGUGAAACUGGUGCCGAAAGUGGAAGCACUGCCGGUGGUCCUAGUGGUGAACCCUCUGGCGAUGCUGGUGCCGGUGCUCCAAGCGGAAGUACAUCUGAUAUGUCGGCAGGAGGAGCAAGUGCUUCAGGCGGUGCGAGUGGAACUUCAACUCAAACCUCUGCCGAAGGAGAAAGCUCAAUGAAUAGUGGAGGUUCCUACGCGGACACUACAGGUGGUAGCGCGGAAGGUUCCGCCAGUAGCCCCUCUGGCUCAGCGUCGGGUAGUAGUGAGACCUCCUCCAUCACCGGAAGUGAAAAUUCAUCUUACCAAGCUGGAGGAUCAUCUGCCGGUGGCCCCAGUGGAAGUACAACGGAAGCUGCGGGUUCAACCGAAGGUGGUAGUGGAGCCUCAGUAAAUCAAUCUGUCAAAGGAAAAGUGGGGGCAACGAGCUAUGAAGGUUCUUCUAGCUACAAAAAGUCACACUCACAAAC